UACGUAGGGUGCGAGCGUUGUCCGGAAUUACUGGGCGUAAAGAGCUCGUAGGCGGCUUGUCGCGUCGUUUGUGAAAAUUUACAGCUCAACUGUGAACUUGCGGGCGAUACGGGCAGGCUAGAGUACUGCAGGGGAGACUGGAAUUCCUGGUGUAGCGGUGAAAUGCGCAGAUAUCAGGAGGAACACCAAUAGCGAAGGCAGCUCGCUGGGACGUUACUGACACUGAGGCGCGAAAGCGUGGGGAGCGAACAGG
rnacentral:rRNA from 1 species